rnacentral:tRNA from 1 species
GUCAGGAUGGCCCAGCGGUCCAAAGCACCAGACUCAAGGGUUCACUCCUUCCUGAGAAAAGACACUUCUGGUCUCCAAUAAAAGGCGUGGGUUCAAAUCCCACUUCUGACG